CGUUUCCAGAGUCUCCGGUUACUCCGACCGACACCUCAAACCCGCCGAGAUCGAGACACCCACUGGCGAGCACCGAGCGGACUGGACACUGGAGACAGGAACAAACAUCGACAGGAAAUAAAAAAACAUCAGGGUUCCCCACAAUUCCAAUGAGCUGUAAACUUGUUCAGGAACCUGUCUGAGACUUUAAACACCACAUCCAAUGGAUGUGGGAAGGCAGGGAAUUCUCCAGUGUCCCUGAUGUCUUCAACUGCAAGAUGUCUUCCAGCUGCAGCUUCUGACAGUGUUAGGGAGCUGGAGGUGGAACUGGAUGAAAUCUGGAUCACUUGGGAAUCUGAGGGGCACUGUUUCCUCUAAGAUGCACAGCAGCACAGUGACUGAAAUGUUCCCAUGCACAUA